UCCGCACUUGACUAGCUUUUAAUUUAUGUGACUGUUCCAACUGUUGACAAACAGCAUUACAACGUGUUUCGCAAAUUUAUGGCGAAACUUGGCCGCUCUGAUGGAAGUGUCCCAUAAAUAGAGUUCUUUAGAACGCCCAGUUAAUUGAAAGAAGCUAUUGGAAAUGCGAAGCCGAAGAAAUCAGGGAGUAACAGUGUCUCUUGAAAGAGUAGAGAUGCCAAGCCAUUGAGGGUAUACAGAAUCGAACAUAGCUGGGUUUGCAAACCGAAAAAUACAUGUCAUUUCAAUUUUGCCGUGUUAUCUAAGAUUGCUGAACAAUGUGUCAUUUAAAGAUUUCCCAUAGACUUGUUAGAUUAAUGUGCUCUUGUAAAUCGCUUAAGGUCCAGACGAGGAAUAUUGACUUCAUAAAUUUGGCCAACACUUGGUAGCAGAAAUCUGCAGAGUUUUGCUGGAUUUUCAUGGCGUGGCAUGCACUCAAUUGGAACGAAGCGAUUGCCACAACAAUUCGUUAUGUUUUCGGCGCCCAAGAGGGAAAAAGCCAACAGUUAAAUAGGCGGCCCAGGAAAAGCACAAGCCAAACACCACACCAGUUGGCCAACUUCAGUUUUAGCCGUUGUUUUUAGUUGCUGUUUGCUGUAGCUGCAGCUCCACUUGGCCAACAGAGCAAAAGCCGCAACAAGCAAUGCAUUUUCAAUGGCGUCUGCGUUUCUAACUGCAGCUGCGGGCCAAAGGCAACUGUGGCCAACCAUUUGGACAAACCAUUCAAGCAUUUUUGGCCGUUGGCUCUUGCCGUCCUCUUACCAAUGUGCUUUGUUUUUUCUCGGUCGCGCUAAAAUUUAAUGCCCACCCUAGCAAAAACCCCUUCCCCAUCCCCUCCUUUCAAUGCGCCCAAUCCUCAAUCCUCACCUGGAAAGCACGUGGGGUGCGGUCAACUAGCCGCGCAUUCGGUCUGCGGUUGCAGCUGGCCUUACAUAUAGACCAGGCCCACGCUGAGCAACUCGCCAAUUCCGAAUAAACCACCGGAUCGGCGGCUUUGUCUGCAUUUUUCUGCACUGGCCGAAACCGAAGGAAAAUACGGAAAAUUAUAAUGUAUGGGCAGGGGGCGUGGACAAUGGAUAUGCUUUUCCAAAAACUGUCCGAUGCACCGCGAAGUCCAAGUGAAAGUUGUGCCAAAAUGAAUGGUCUCAGGAUGUGACUAAUUUCGUCGAGACUGCCAAUAAAGUGGCCGCUGGCUGGGCGGAAAAUGGAUUUAUUGAUCGAAUUUAGGAAGUUACCCAUUACCCGUUUCCAAACUAAUAAAAAACCCAUCAAAUUUAGAUGGCAAAAUUUUGGGCAGUAUUAAUUUAACCAAUGCCGCUUUGUGUGGUGAUAAAAAGUUAUACAACUCAAUUUUUAGGUCAUAACUUUGUUAUACGUUUUACAUUUUUACGAUGAGUCGAGACAAGUUCGAAAAUUAUGACAAAUUACCACAUAGUAUUUUACAUCUUUCAAAUAGCUUAGCAAAUAGUUCAACUACAUUCCGAGGCUCUGUUUUUGAAGAGUUUUAGGGCAUGCCAAGCACUCAAUCUUGAACCUAAAUACUCGAUAACAGCCUGAAGAUUAACCUCUUUGUACCUACAAAAAAUCUCUUUAAAAACCAUAAUUUAUUCUGAAGAAGUCAGAAGUCCCCUCCGUAGACGUAAGUGCCUCCCAUAACUAUAGGCUCAUCAGCAGCUACGCACACGCAUCGUUCAAUUCAGGAAGCGACCACAAGAUUCUGGGCGUUUCGCAUUUUGCGUAAUCUUCUCCAGCUCCAAAAACCACAAAGCAUGGGAUUUUAAUUAUGGGUUUUUGGGUUUUCUCUCUCUUUUUGGUUUUGUUCUUUGACCCUCCCCCGAAAACACCUGCUGACCCCGGGCCCUGAAAUCUUUCUACACCUGAAGAGCCAUUAGCCCUGAGCAACUGAGUGUUAAAUGGUCAGAAGAGACACAGCAAGAAGCAAAUGAAUCAAUUACCGGAUUUGUAGUGAGUCAAAGCAACUCUCUGAAAUCGAACAGAGGAGGUAUUCAGAGAGGUAUUCCACUCAGCAUUCAAUUAAUGCGAUGGCAAAGUGAUUAAGAGCCAAUCAACCGGCACAUUUUGAAUUCGAAUUCGAAUCGAAUUCUCUGCUGUUCUGUGGAUCAACAGAACAUGCCAUCCCAUUUAUAUGAGGUGGAUAUGUGGAAUUGUGCAUGCUGAUAUGUUCGCAGCGCAAAUAUGAAAUGUGACAACGAGAACCAUUAAAGAGGAAGUUGCAUGCGGGCCUUUGAGGGAUAAAAAACGAGAUGAGUUGGGUGGGCGGGUCGUUUGGUUGGUUGGAUGGACAUCUGACGAAAUUGUGUCGCCGCCAGCAACAAUUGAAAUUCCAAUUUAUUGCGAAUUGAAUUCAAUUGAAGAGCAUUGAGAGCACAACUCAAACAGAGCAAAGGCCUCGCCAAAGUUCAGGCACGGGCUGUACUAUACGAUAGCCCAUGAAUGAGUUUCAUACCGUCGGUCUCAGUAUCAACAAUAAACUAGUGCUAAACCCAUAUUUCAUUAAAGUAUUCACGAGUUUUCCUUUACAGAAAUUACUCUUCAAGUCCAAGAUUAUCAUUACACAAAAUAUUUUAUCAUUUAAGACGGAAAAACCUUUUUAUGUAUCCCUGUUUUAAAGCUCUUUAGCGUCAUGUCCCACUGUGUGGAACAACUGCUCCAUAAACAUUCGUUUGGCUUUGAAUUGUAUCUCGUGCGUUGGCGGCACACUUUCGGUACGACUAUGGUCAUUAAUUGGCCUUUGAUUGGCGUUGCAUGCUUAGACACAUUAUUACGAAUCUGAAUCCGAAUCCAAAUCCAACCAGAGCUGCUCAAAUAAACGCUUAAAUUCUUAACCAACGAGGUCGGACAAAGUGCGGAUGGCAGUUCCGUGUUCUUCGUUAUGAGCAGCUGACACAAGCAGAUCUGCAGUACUUCAUACAGUGGGCCUGCUGGUGAUUCAUCAUUGGGCCCUGGACGGGAAUGGCUGUCAACGUCAAAGAACCGUGAACUAGGAACCAGAACCAUGUGCGUGGAGGCCAGUGAUUCAGCCGUGCUCAAACUCUGAGUAGCGACAUUAAAGCGCAGAAAUGCCAGCAAAGGAGCCGAGUUAAUGAGAUUUAAGCCGCAACUCUGGGACAUGGCGCGUUUAGAAUUUAAUCGCCACAACUGGUGACCACAACCGGCAUCACAAAAAAACACCAAAGAAUAUCAGCACCGAGUUUUACGACAUUGUUUUUCCAGGGAGCCGGCGAGCAACUACAUAAUCAACGAGAAAAGAAGAAGCCAAGUGGUUAACUGGUUCCGUUUCCAUGCGAAUCAAUCAAACAAUAAGUCAGGCAGCCAAAACUGAAGCUUCAUUAAAAGUAAAUGUUCAAUCUAGACAAGCAAAUCGAGACAACCACCCACAGGAACACUCCGUGGACAAGCUGUCAGUCCGUGUUCGCCGAUCUAUCCGUAGACUGGGAUUCCGAGAUCCAGAGAUCCAGUGCUGACAUUUGACAUGCGUCCGCUGCCCCAACAAAUGAGGCAAAGACUUCUGCGAUUGCUGCCACUGUUGGUUGCAUGCAAAUCGGAGCUGCUGCGGAAAAACUGGAAAUCUGGUAGCCAACGCUGGUCCAAAGUCAGAGCAGGUCGAGGCAAGAGUCAGUGGAAAAUAUCCAAGCGGCAAUAAAAACGAAAAA